rnacentral:misc_RNA from 1 species
AAGUCGUAACAAGGUUUCCGUAGGUGAACCUGCGGAAGGAUCAUUAACACAAAGCAAGUUAGCACUUCACAGUGCUUUCUUCUUAACCCCCCUUUUAUGCGAACUUGUUUGUGUUUCUUUUCAUUCAUUCGUGAGUGAGGGAAACCCUGUCUAAAUGGAGAGAGGUGAGAACGGCGUGUGGCUGCGUGCCCUCGCUGACAACCCCACUCUCUUCAUUUGUUUUCAACCUUUUUUAUUAACCCCUUGAACUGUUUUUGACUGAACUUGUGUCCUUCCUUUCAUUAGGAAUUACACACACAUCCAACGCUGAACAACUCUUAGCAACGGAUAUCUUGGCUCUC